AUGAGAGACUCUAAAGAAGUCACAGCUUGCUUCCUUUCUGAAGAAUGUUGUGAUUUUGGCUCAUGUGCAGUUCACGACGACUCUUCUCCAACAGCGUGCCAUAGUCCAUUGUCUCAGGUUCCCAUUUUUCCACCAGCUGCAGAGAAGGAAGGGAGAAAUAAAAGUGUGGGCAUUCAGAUCACCAACGCUGUGACCUCGCUGUGUGCAUGGGAGCUACUACAGGAAGGAAGCUUACAAAUGAACUGCAUGGAUCCCACAUUUUGCUAA
rnacentral:lncRNA from 10 species